UUGCCCAUGUACUCGUAAGGUAUCCCUAAAUCUUUAGCCUCUUCUUGAUCAGGGUUUCCCCAUUCCUUUAGUAUUUCUAAUAAAUAGAAGCAGAUAUAGUUAACCGAAGGCCUUUUGACUGUUAUAGUUUCUCUCUUGGACUCUUCUCACGAAUUGGAUUCGAACCACCACAACCAAGAAGGCCCUACUUGACCAAGCAAAUAGAAGAUCGUGAGUUCUUAGGAACACACACACCUCUAUUAGGGGAUCGGCUCGAACGCUGAACUUACCACUUUGAGCCCCCGAUAGAAGGCUU
rnacentral:lncRNA from 1 species